rnacentral:lncRNA from 1 species
CGUGUACAGCUCGUGGAUAACCAGGCAGCGGUGGGGCGGGGCAAAGUCGAGGGGGCGGGGCGUGGAGCGCCGGGGCGUGAGGGGGCACGUGGCGGGUCCUGCUGCAGCCCCUGUCCGCGGAACUGUCCCGCUUCUGGCCGCACGGCAACCGACGGGCGGUGGGGAGGCCGGGGCCACCCGGUGAGCCUCAAUUCCUGCCUGCGGGCUGAGGUGGGAGCACUGAGCUGUGGGCUCAGCUUCUCUCCGUGGGUAAUGGGACUCACAGAGAGUGGAAACAGGGCAAGGUGGUGCAGUGCAAUGUGUUCCCUGUUUGACAUAAAAGCUUGGGAAAACCCACAGCUCUUCAGUGAUAAAUGCACGUAUGCCAGGAAGGGGAGCGGGCCAGCCAGGCAGCGGUGUGGCCCUGUGCCCCAACCCCAAACUACAGCCACAGCCCUGCACCUCACAAAGCCACGCGCCCUCCUGGGCCGGCCGGUUUACUGAGUGUAACGUUUCUGUAUGAGGUUUCCUGUUUUGUGGUUGCCCAAUGCCUCUUCUUGAAGGAACGAGUUGCCCGCGUCUACGCUGGUGACAAAGAAGUGGAGCUUCUGACUCAGCUCUGUGCUUGGGGCUUCCACCAUCUUCUGCUUCCUGCGUUGUUACAUCCUGGUGAGCCCAGGAAAGAACCAGCUCGGCGCUUCCCCGCUGACUCAGGUGUGCUCCUAAUGACAGAUUUGGGAAAUGGCAACAACUGA